CGGUGUAGCUCAGCUGGCUAGAGCAGCUGAUUUGUAAUCAGCAGGUCGUGGGUUCGAGUCCCUCCAUCG
rnacentral:tRNA from 1 species